AGGACGGAGAGCCGCCUCUUGUUUCCCCCGCCUGCCUGGCCAACCAGUGAUGAGCACCAAAUGUGUGGAAAUAAAAGAAAAUCUGGGUUUUUGACCUCGGCCUCAGACCCUGCAGACUACAAAAACUGCAAAAAAAUUACAGACUACAGGAGGCUUUAGUGCACCACUCGGGUGACCCUGAGGACACAGAUGAACCUCCGGGUGGCCUCAAGGACUCUCUAAAAGGAUGCCAAUGACCAGCUGUCUGCAAGGAAUAUAAAUCCUUCCAUUCCCCACCCUCCAGUCAGAGCUGAAGAAGCUUCUCAUCUGAGAAGCGAAACGUCUUCAAACGAAAAACCAGACAGUCCAGUUGCCUCUUGGAAAAAAGCACCUUUGGGACAACCAUGACUGAGAAUCUCUACAGAUUUUUAACUAUGCAAUUUGGGAUGAACCCCCUAGGAAUGGUGUGGGAGUUAGGAAUGGAUUUCCAGAGGAAAAAAUUGCAGACUACAGGAACCAGAAGCACCACUCAGGUGAUCCUAAAGACACAGGUAAACCUCCAGGUGGCCUCAAGGACCCUCUAAAAGGAUGCAAAUGACCAGCUGUCUGCAAGGAGUAUAAAUCCUUCCAUUCCCCACCAUCCUGUCAGAGCUGAGGAAGCUUCUCAGAUGAGAAGCGAAACGUCUUCAAAAGAAAAAGCAAGAAAGUCCAGUUGCCUCCUGAAAAAAGCACCUUUGGGAUCUAACAGGUGACAAAUCUUGAGUUCCAGAGAAACUAAGGGAGGAAUGCUGGCUGUUGGGGAGACCUGGAGCUCUGCGAAGGAGAUGCCCUCACCUGUCUGCAGACUGUGUGAGGUGGGCGGAUAUCAGAGCUGCGAGGUUGUCGUGUCCGGCCUCCACCGCAAUGGCCACAGCAUCGUUGCCGUCCUGUAAGAGAGUGUUAAGCAAGUUUGAGUGGCGGCUGGACCACAAAGGGCAGUUCUGUUUCCAAAAUUAAAAAAUAAAUUAGUCUAGCAGCUA